rnacentral:rRNA from 1 species
GGGUGAGUAACACGUGAGGAACCUACCCUGUACACCGGGAUAGCCACGGGAAACCGUGAUUAAUACCGGAUGCUCCACUGCGAUCGCAUGAUCACGGUGGGAAAGCUCAGGCGGUACAGGAGGGCCUCGCGGCGUAUCAGCUAGUUGGUGAGGUAACGGCUCACCAAGGCUUCGACGCGUAGCUGGAGUGAGAGCUCGAACAGCCACACUGGGACUGAGACACGGCCCAGACUCCUACGGGAGGCAGCAGUGGAGAAUCUUGCGCAAUGGGCGAAAGCCUGACGCAGCCACGCCGCGUGCGGGAAGAAGGCCUUCGGGUCGUAAACCGCUUUCAGGAGGGAAGAAGCGAAAGUGACGGUACCUCCAGAAGAAGCCCCGGCCAACUAUGUGCCAGCAGCCGCGGUAAUACAUAGGGGGCAAGCGUUAUCCGGAAUCAUUGGGCGUAAAGCGCAUGUAGGCGGCCAUGUAAGUCGGUUGUGAAAUCUCGGGGCUCAACCCCGAA